CGCGGGGUGGAGCAGCCUGGUAGCUCGUUGGGCCCAUAACCCAAAGGUCGGAGGUUCAAAUCCUCCCCCCGCUACCA
rnacentral:tRNA from 1 species